rnacentral:tRNA from 1 species
CCUAGUUUUUGGGGUAUUAGCUCAGUUGGUUAGAGCGUCACGUUGACAUCGUGAAGGUCAGCUGUUCAAGUCAGCUAUAUCCCA